UAGGGAAUCUUCGGCAAUGGGGGGAACCCUGACCGAGCAACGCCGCGUGAGUGAAGAAGGUUUUCGGAUCGUAAAGCUCUGUUGUUAAGGAAGAACGAGUGUGAGAAUGGAAAGUUCAUACUGUGACGGUACUUAACCAGAAAGGGACGGCUAACUACGUGCCAGCAGCCGCGGUAAUACGUAGGUCCCGAGCGUUGUCCGGAUUUAUUGGGCGUAAAGCGAGCGCAGGCGGUUAGAUAAGUCUGAAGUUAAAGGCAGUGGCUCAACCAUUGUAGGCUUUGGAAACUGUUUAACUUGAGUGCAGAAGAGGAAAGUGGAAUUCCAUGUGUAGCGGUGAAAUGCGCAGAGAUAUGGAGGAACACCAGUGGCGAAGGCGACUUUCUGGUCUGUAACUGACGCUGAUGUGCGAAAGCGUGGGUAGCAAACAGG
rnacentral:rRNA from 1 species